rnacentral:rRNA from 1 species
UACGAAGGGGCUAGCGUUGCUCGGAAUCACUGGGCGUAAAGCGCACGUAGGCGGAUUGUUAAGUCAGGGUGAAAUCCUGGAGCUCAACUCCAGAACUGCCUUGAUACUGGCGAUCUCGAGUCCGGAGAGGUGAGUGGAACUGCGAGUGUAGAGGUGAAAUUCGUAGAUAUUCGCAAGAACACCAGUGGCGAAGGCGGCUCACUGGCCCGGUACUGACGCUGAGGUGCGAAAGCGUGGGAGCAACAGG